UUCUGCAGAAAGAGAGUGCCUUUUCCCCCUACCGUAUUCUUCGCUGCAACUCAGGGAAGGAUUCUCAGUUUCCCUACUUGGGCUACGUGUCACUGCUGCCUGAACACAGACCACUAGGCUUUGUUCGUCCUUAGUCCUACGCCCACUCCUCCAAGUAGCAGAAGAAAGACGAUGGGAAUGUUUGCCGAACAGACAACACCCAAGAAGUACUCUAGCAGGCCUAAAACCUAAGCAGGUGAUGUAAUCCUUUUUUCUAUUAUCUCCAGAGCCCAUCAGCAUAGUUGGUGUCUACUCUUCCUUCCUAUGGCUGAUGGGUAUAAGCCAAUCAUUGCUGUUCCUCUUCUCAUUGACAGUGAUUGGUUUAGGUACAAGCAUGUGAUGUGAUCCUGGCCAAUAUGAUGUAAGGAGAUAACAACUAGAAGAGUUCUCAAUCCUUAAGAAGCUUAAUCUCUUUUGCUGGCCACUAUCCAGCCUGUAAGGGAUGCCUGGAACUGUCGGACCCAGCCUGCAGCUGUAAGGACCUGGUCAAGGUCAAGGUUGACAUGCUGAGGAUGGCACAGCAGAGUGGAGCCAGGUCCUUGAGGACCUGGUUGAGCUGUUGAGUUAACCAACCCUGAAGCCACCAUCUCCAGGGCAUUUUUUUUUUUUUAAUAUGAGAGAGUAAAUUUUUCACCUAUUUUAAGCCAGUGGUUUUCAAAGUCUGGUCUCUGGACCAGAAACGCCAAUCAGCAUCCCCUGGGAACUUGUUAGAAAUGCAAAUUCUUGAGUCUUACCCAGAACUACUUAAUUAAAAUCUCUGGGAGGGGGGCUCAGCUGUUUGCCUUUUAACAAGCCCUUCAGGUACAUGCUAAAGUUUGAGAGCCACCAUUUAAGCCAUUGGAGUCAAGAUUGGAGGAGGAUUUGAUUCUGUUUACUUGCUGCUGAAAUAUUCUAAGUGGAAUAGUCUUAACAGAAAGGGUCUGGAAAGAAUCUAGAAUCAUUCCAAUUCUACCCCUUCAUUUCGUACCCGUGACUGAGUUUAGGGAGGAACUGUAUGCGAUGUUUGCUAUGAUGCUGCUCCUGAGGGCUGGGCCCUUUCUCUCUUGAAGUUCUUAUUCUCAUUUUUAUCAUUAUCAUCAAUAAAUCUUUACUUUCUGCAUAGAGUGCAUAGGGUGAGUCCCACAGAUGCUUUACCUGAUGCCUUUGACCUCAAGAUGCCUGUACCAGUUAGGAAACAAACUGGGUGAUUAGAAGUGAGCUUAAUGAAAGUAAUAAAAAGAUUGUUCACGGGACAGGUGUGAUGGCUCACACCUGUAAUCUCAGUACUUUGGGAGGCCGAGGCGGGUGGAUCAUGAGGUCAGAAGAUCGAGACCAGCCUGGCCAACAUGGUGAAACCCCGUCUCUACUAAAAACACACAAAAAAUUAGUUGAGCCUGGUGGCCAUCCCUGGAACCUGCGAACGUGACCUUAUUCGGAAAAGGGGUCUUUGCAGAUAUCAUUAAGUUAAGGAUCUUGAGAUCAGGAGAUUACUCUGGUUUAUCCAAGUGGGCCUUAAAUCUAAUGACAAAUGUCUUCGUAAAUGAAAGAGAGGGAUUUUAGACAGAAGAGAAGACAGAAGAGGAGGAGGCAAUGUGACCACAGAGAUAGAGAUUGGUGUGAUGAGGCCACAAGACAAGGAAUGCUGACAGCCACCAGAAGCUGGGAGAGGCAGAGAACUGAUCCUGUUGAUCCCAGAGCCUCCAGAGGGAGCGUGACCCUGCCAAUACCUUGAUUCCAGACUUCUGUCCUCCUGGAACUAUGAGAGAACAUAUUACUGUUGUUUUUAACCCACCAAGUUUGCAGGAAUUUAUUAUAGCAGCCACAGGAAACUAAUGUAUAGGUCCAUAGAGAGGACGAUAUGCCAGGAGCUGUAAGGAGCCCAGACAACCUGGAACAAUGCUGCAAGGAGAGAAUGAGGGAAUCAAUUCCCAGCUUCCCCUUUCUUCAUUCUCUCUGACUUCCAGAUAGUGCCUCCCACUGGCCAAAUCCAAAUGAAAACUGUAGGGCAAGGGACUCCCCUUGAUAGGGCCCCUAGGGGUUGGCCUCCUGAGGCUCAGUAGGAUGGAGAAGGUUGGACUUGGAGGGACAGGUGGAACUGUCUGGCAUGCCCCCCAUUGCCCGAAAAGCACAACUGAACUGUUAGCAUUGAACAGCCAUGGAAGGAUGAGGUGCAAACAUUUCCAUGAGAUAUAUGUGGCAGGAAUUAGUGCUUUGUGUAGUCAAGAGGAAAAUAAAUUGUCUGAAAAAGCUGGUGGAAGAAGUAGAAAGUUAAGUAAUGUUUGAGUAGCGGGAGAAAGAUGGUUGGAUGAUCCAGGGAUGAGAAAGUGAUUCCUUAUAUAUGUAUAUAUUUGUGCUUGGAAGAUAGCUAGAGAUGAUGGUGGGAUAAGAGUAUUAGAUAUGUGUGAACAGCAUGUGCUUAUGAUGUUGGGGAAAUCAGGUGGGAAGAGGGAGGAACUGGGGAACACUAACCUCAAGUAGAACUAUGACAUUUUUUUCAAAUUUCUGGCAUUGUGGCAAUCAACAAUAGGGUCACUGCUGCCCCAUGUAGAGCCCUAACUAUCCCUUCUACUGACAGGCGAGGACAGCCCCAUAAGAUCUAGCCUCAAAGUCUAGGAGUACUGCUUCCCAGAAAGGUAGUGAGUGAGUGUUGAAGUCAGUCCUAUGUCCUUUGAAUAAGAAGACACAGGGCUCAGAGGAUAGAAGUUGGGCUGGAUGAAUUACAGGGACCUGUGGUCAUCAUUCUAGAAGCAAUUUGCUAGGCAGGGUCUGGAGGUGUUGGACUCAAACCCAUCACAGCCACUGUCCUAUGAGAUCCUAGGAAAAGUGUUUUGUUUUUCCUGUGUCUCUCUCAGGAAAGUGGCCACAAUGAGAUACUUUCUAUCUAUCUUGAAGAGACUUUGAUAAAAACAAAUAAUGGUAAAUAAGCCAGGGGAAAUAAAUAACAAUCACUAAUUUAUUAAAUUUUCAAAAAUCAUCUAAUUACAAAGCAGGGAAGAGAAAAGAAAAGGCUAGGGAGGUGGAAGAUACAGAAACAAUGUCAGUGGGCUAAGAAGAGACAAAAGCAUUCACAUUUAUCAGAAGAGAUAACCUUGCCCCCUCUUGCACUUGUGCUCAGGAAAUUUUGCUUCUCUUUGCCAGAUAAUCCAAGACGGAGGAGAAGCAUCUCCAUGGCACCUCACUCUGAUUUGCGAGGAUUUGGCCAGAGAAACUGUUCUCAAGAGUGUGAAUUAGGUGGCAGCUACUAUUUUAUGGUACCUCGCUAUCCACUUUGUAAGGUACGAGUAACAACAACAACAAGCAAACCAAAUUACCAAAGCACAAAAAAAAAUGUGUUCAGUCAGUUACAAAAUGCUCCUCAGCCAGAGAAGUGGGCAUCUGACUCCUGGAGGGGCCCUUCAGCCUGUGGAGUAUUCUUGUGUGUUGCAGGUUUCACAGUGAGCAGAGGCUGUCUCUGAAAUGGGCAGAGAACCAGUGGGUUGUAGUAGUUUGCAUAUGGGGAGAAAGGGAGAGAAAGAGAGAGAGACUCUGUGUGUGUGUGUGUGUGUGUGUGUGUGGAUGUGUGGCUGAAUGUCAUCUGUGUGUCUGCACGCAACAUUGUGCCAAUGAAGUUGGACAUGCAUCUAUGUGUGGGAUGGGGUCCUGGCCUUGGCAACAAGGGGGUGUACGUGUGGGUGUGAGUGACAGCAGACUCAGAGUCCAGGCCCAGGGCCUCUGGGGACUGUCACCUGCAGGACUCAUCAUAGAGGAGACCAGGUGCUUGGAGUGUCCCCAAAGCAAUACAGAGUGCAUGGUCAUGAGUUUGAAAAAUAUUCCUGUGAGAGAUAUAAAUAAAGCCUCUAAGCCCAAAGCCAGAGUUUUCGAAAGCCAGCCUUACACACAAGAUAAUUUAUAGUUGCUGGUGUCCCUUCCCAUGCAUGACUCAGCUCUCCUAGCCCAAGUAGGCCCAGCCUGCUCCAGUAACCUUUGCUGAAAGGGAAGAGUUGAAGCAAACUCCAAGAAGCCCAAUGAUCCAACCACCCAGCUCCCGGACUAGCUCCUGCUGAGCUCCCUUCCUCUGUUCCCUUUGGGCAAACUCCAACCAUGACAUGGAUGAACAGAUCCUGGAAACUGAGAAACCAGAGACUUGGGUACUCCCAGCUGGCUGGUCCUUGGAAGUCUAUUAAACUGGUUCCCGUAUACCUUCAGGAUCUUGGCGGAUUCUGCUACCCAUACAAUGGGUAUUGGCUCAAACACCCUUCCCACCACUCCCCAGCCUGCCUUCCAGCCAUUGGGAGGCAGCAAAAUCAGAACAAAGACCUGCUUGAAGCUAGAGAGUUUUUCUCAGUCUCAGAGACUCUUGAGCCCAACAGGAAGAAUAAAAAUGAGAGCACUUUUACCUUUUAUUUAAAAGACAGUAUAUACCCAUGUCAAGUGUCAAAAAUAUGGCUAAAAAGAGGGAUAAAUAGUGACAUGCUUAAACAUUGUGGUGAAUUUGUGGGGGGAGGCAGCCAGCAAGGAACAGGGUUAGUUUUUUCAAUUUUCUCCCUAUAUUCCUCACUUCCCACCCACCUUCUUUCGUUAUAUUUUUAGCAGACUCUUUGGCCAACCACGUCCAAAGAGACAGAUGCAAGUACAGAGAGUGCAUACUGAAACCAAAGGGUGUUUCUUUUUCUUCUUUUUUUCUUAAAAACCUUCCAGGAGUGUGGAAAGGACUGGAAGUGCUCGAAGGUCUUUUUAGCCACAUGCCUUACCCCAACUGGGAUCUGGAACAUUUUUAUGCCAAGGCCCAUAUGCCUGAUUGUCCAAGUAUAGGGGAAAAAAAUAUCAUUCAGGGCUUUAAAAAAUAGUUUAGCUUUUUGAUUAAACUGCUAAACAGCCUUGAAUAAAAUAUUUUUUUUGCUGCUCUAGCAGAUGAAUUUGUGCAACUGGCCUAAUUUUAAUACAGGAUCCAACACAUAAUAGGUAUGUAAUAAUUGUUGAAUAGAUGGAUAAUUCUUUAACCCUGUAAUGAAGUGUCCUCAUUCAACAUGCAUUUAUUAAGCCACUCUUUGGGUGUGUACAAGUGUGUAUCCUCAAAGGCUUCUUCCUGCAAUAACAUUCUAUAAUUCUGUGACCUAUAUUCUGAGUAAGUCAUAUGCUGAUUCUUUGAUUAAUCUGGGGGAAGGAAGUUUCAAGUUAGCCAAGUUAAAACACACAUACACGCUACACUCCAAACCUACACAAACCUACUUCUUAAAUGAUAGAAAGCGGAGGACCUUGGUAGCUGCAUAGCUAAAACCACAGAAUUUUGCCUGGUUUGGCCUGGCCUUGUUGGAAGUGCACAGAGCCUACUCUAGAUCCCAUAGCUCAGUCUUUUGAAGUUCUUCUUUUGUUCCUUGCCUCCUCUUCUUUCUGAUCUUUCCAUUCAGGGGUGGUCAUCUUCCACAUUCUCAGUUUCUGAAAGCCCCCUGUUCUCCUAGUCACCCCUGUCUUUUCCCAUCUUAAAAAUAACAAAGGCUGUGUGUCAUUCAUAUGUGCGGAUUGAUCUGCACAUGUGGAUGAAUUUGAUUUAGAGAUCCUUGCAUGUUAUUGGAAGGUAACAGACUAACAGAGAGGCGAAGAGACUCCCAAGAUCACACAGCUAUUGAAUAGCAGCAAUCUAGCCCAUUGUUCUGAUCUGAAAUUGAUCUAUAAUUCUCAAGUGAGAGCUACAGAUACAAUUCCACAAGCCUGCCAAUUAGGAGACUUGAGGUGGCCUUGAGGCUGAGUCAAGCCAAUCUUUCUGCCCUUUUGAUAGCUGGUCACUCCCCUUGGAUCUAUACUAUUUGCUUCAGCUUCUAGUGAUUUCUUCUACUCUGUUUGGGAUAUUCACACUGUAUUAGGAAUUUAUAGACCUGGAUGGGCCCACCAGAUGUCAUCUGCUUUCUGAAGUUCUCAAUCACCAGGCAGAAUUCCAGCCCCAGCAAUCCUUUGUUCUGAAGGAUAUAGGGAGGCCCUUCAGUAAGAAAAUCAGUCUGAAUUUCUGUUUUUCCCUCCAGAAUGACAGUGGCCCCUUCUGUUGGGUUUGCAACAUUUACUCUGGAAGCCCCCACUGCACGCUUACCCUAAUCAUCUGCAGGUCUUGGCUGAGCAUUUAGAGAUUCAGAAUACCAUAUUGGGUACAACAAGGGUCUCCUGGAGCCAAAAAGAUACAAACUUUCAAUCCCACUGGUUAGGGUUGGAAGGAAGACAAAUACACAGAAGAUUCUGUUGUUCCGAUGAAAGGGAUCUCUGUGUCUGCACAGCGAUGACAGGGAAUGGUGUUUGGUCUCAAACAGCACGUUUCUGACCCGAUUGACUUGGAAGAUGGGCUGCUCUUGCAUUGCGGCCCAUGCCAAGGUCACGGGGACACAUGACCACUGCAGGGAAGGAAGAUCUGUAUUCUCUGGCGAAAAUUCACAUGAGUGGGGAAGGAGAGGAGGAGGUGGCAUGCAGAGAGAGGGGCCAUCCCACUUUGCAAAUCCCUCCUCCAGCUUUGUCACUGCUCCCCACCCCUCAAGUUAGAAGCACCAGCAGCAUGGGCCAGACCAGGGCCAGCUGAUUCUGUGGCCUGUUUAUACCCUGUAACCAGAGCCUGUUCUCAAAGAGGCUGCCUGACAGCUGCAGAUGUAAGGGGAUGGACCAACACUUCCAGAGAUUGAGUGACGCGUGCUGGUGUCCAUCUCAGGGGCAGCUUAGCCUGACAAUCUUCUCAAGCCAGGGGAUGGGAGUGGGAAAAGGUGGAGCAGGCUACCAGUUAGUGCUCAUGGUGGCGGGACCUUGGAGCCUGCUAUUGAGCUUGUGUGCUCCCUCCAGCCCCUAGUCUGCCAAUGGGAUUGCUUUCUUCAGGGUCAAGGCAGGUGAAAGAGGAGUUCUGCAUGUUUCAUUGGUUUAUUUUUCCCACUCUUUAUCUUUGUCAUUACAGAAAACAAAAAGAACACAUGAUGAGGCUCUGGGUCAGCCAGGAUUCUAGAUUCUGCUGCCAGACACAUCUUACAAGGGUAGAGUGCUUGUUUCCUCAUCCCAACCCCAAGCUUCUCCUCAAAGGUCAGCCUUUCUUUCUUCCCCUCAGCUCUGGGAGGCAGUAGCAGGGACCUCCCUCCACUCAGCCCAGCCUGGACUCCCAGCCAGGAGGCUGGGGCAGUGAACCCCACCGCUAGGGUCUGGUGAGGCUGAAAAUUCUUCAAGCCAGGCCAUCUUACAGGCCUUUCUACAGCUGUGUCCCGACCCUCUAUGCCUCUGCAAUUUCAUAUCCUAAUCCUUUUGGGUCAGGCUCCCUCCACCUUCAUCUUUCUUUUGUGUCUUUCAUAAAUUGGUCCUGUAGCAGCUGCUCCUGCCCCUGCCCAGCCCCCAGUCGUGGGUGCCCUGGAGAGUGGGUAUACAUCGUAUCCUGG
rnacentral:lncRNA from 1 species